CAUUAAUUGAGCAUAAUCUAUCUAUACAUUGUGAGAUUAGGUCAGUGCUGAGGCAUAGUCUGACAUGGGAGAGGAGAAACUACCUCCCACAGGAGGUCCCUCUGUUCUCCACACAUAGUAACCACUGUGCAUGCACUGUGGUUGCUAUGGAAACUCCAAAGCACCAGCUAGGUGACAUCACUUUGUUAUAGUAACAAAUGUCAUUCCAUUCAGAAGCUGGCAACAUCACUUAGAUUUGCACUGGGCAAAUCAAAAAACAGUCCAGGAGGAGUGGAGAAUAGCCUGUAGGUAAGUGUGAAGCGGCGCUGGAACAGAGGAAGAGGGAGUAAAUCAAUAUCUUACAUUUAAUAAAACAUGUUUCUUUGUG